UGCCAAAAAUUUAGAGGUUAAGAUUAAGUUGAAUUUUUAAGAAUUCAAAAAAUUAAAUGUAGAAUUUGUGUGAUAUCAGUUCUUACAAUAUUCACUAAAAUUUGUAUUUCUGCGCGGGCAAGUGUGACAAUCUGUUGAAUGAUGGGAAUUUUUCAAAUUGAGGAAUCUAUUCAAAAAUGGAACUCCUUAGAUUGUUUUAAUUACAGAAGGCUGGAAAGAAAGAAAAUGAAGAUGACGAUCAGAAGAAAGGAAGGAAGUACUUGAUAGAUAGGCAAUAGAGUUGAGGAACUUACAUGUGAGAGGGUUCAUGACGACAAUAAAGAUGAAGAAAAAGUCUACAGCGUUAAUCCUUGAAACUUCUUGAUCCAGCAUCGAUGGAGGAUCAGCUAUAAUGGAGGGGAAUAGUGUCAUUGGAUACAAGGAUACACAUCUCCGUCUACAACUGGAUUUGCUCAGAGAUUCCCAAGAUAAGAAGAAUUUAUUAUUUAUUGUCCACCUCUGGCUUACGGGUAAGAGUAAUGUUUCUGGCGUUGAAUGAAUUCCAUUAGCAGACUUGCAGGAGACUAGCAUUGCCUCUUUGGAUCCUUCGUUAUAAUAAUUGGUAAAAUCGUAAGACAUCCACCAUUUCAAUGUAUUUAUGCUUUCGAAGAGACUUCUAGAUUUCGAUUUUUGAUAGCAACUGGGUGAAGUGAAUUACACUUCUCCCAUGAUUGUCCAAUAUUGCCACGAUUUUACCACUUAUUAUCACAAAUGGACAUUAAUAGUUGUUAAGUUAUUGAAAAAUUCCAUUUUGGUAGUCAGAUUUACACAAGUACUGGUUAUUUCCAAUUUCAAAUUUUUUUUCUUUUUUGUCAGUCAAGAAGGAACAUUAUUCUCAAUAUAAAUUUUUACAAUUUGGAAAGUUUAGAUGCAAAAUGUUCAAUCUAGAAUCAUUUUAUUGAAAUAGAUGAAAGAAAAAUUUUGUAAUUCUAGCAUUUGAUGAUCUGCACGUUCCAUUGAAACAUUUCGGUUAUCAAUCGCUGUUUGCUGUUUCAUUUGCGAAUGAUUAGGAUUCCAAUUAUAUAAAAACUGCAAUAACUGAAACGGCCAUUCGCAUUUCGAUGUAGUGAUUUUCUUUUAAAUGCAAUAAAAGUAAUGUUUUCCA